rnacentral:rRNA from 1 species
GACGAACGCUGGCGGCGUGCUUAACACAUGCAAGUCGAACGGAAAGGCCCUGCUCUUGUGGGGUGCUCGAGUGGCGAACGGGUGAGUAACACGUGAGUAACCUGCCCCUGACUUUGGGAUAACUUCAGGAAGCUGGGGCUAAUACCGGAUAGGAGCUCCUGCUGCAUGGUGGGGGUUGGAAAGUUUCGGCGGUUGGGGAUGGACUCGCAGCUUAUCCGCUUGUUGGUGGGGUAGUGGCUUACCAAGGCUGUGACGGGUAGCCGGCCUGAGAGGGUGACCGGCCACAUGGGGACUGAGAGACGGCCCAGACUCCUACGGGAGGCAGCAGUGGGGAAUAUUGCACAAUGGGCGGAAGCCUGAUGCAGCAACCCCGCGUGCGUAAUGACGGCCUUCGGGUUGUAAACCGCUGUCGCCUGUGACGAAGCGUGAGUGACGGUAAUUGGUAAAGAAGCACCGGCUAACUACGUG